rnacentral:rRNA from 1 species
UCAAAUGAGAGUUUGAUCCUGGCUCAGAAUCAACGCUGGCGGCGUGCCUAACACAUGCAAGUCGAACGAGAAAGGGGAGCAAUCCCUGAGUAAAGUGGCGACCGGGUGAGUAACACGUGACUACCUACCCUUGAGUGGGGGGUCCGAUUCAGUGUCCUUCCACUCGAACAGCGUCGCCUCCAGCCCCUCGCUCAACGCCUCGCCGGGCAGAAGGCACAGGACCCAAUCGUGAAGCGUGUCGACGGCGUACGCACCCGGCUCGACGCCCACGAUC